rnacentral:rRNA from 1 species
UUAAGUUAUUAAGGGCGCACGGUGGAUGCCUUGGCACUAGAAGCCGAUGAAGGACGUUACUAACGACGAUAUGCUUUGGGGAGCUGUAAGUAAGCUUUGAUCCAGAGAUUUCCGAAUGGGGAAACCCAGCAUGAGUUAUGUCAUGUUAUCGAUAUGUGAAUACAUAGCAUAUUAGAAGGCACACCCGGAGAACUGAAACAUCUUAGUACCCGGAGGAAGAGAAAGAAAAUUCGAUUCCCUUAGUAGCGGCGAGCGAAACGGGAAGAGCCCAAACCAACAAGCUUGCUUGUUGGGGUUGUAGGACACUCUAUACGGAGUUACAAAGGACGACAUUAGACGAAUCAUCUGGAAAGAUGAAUCAAAGAAGGUAAUAAUCCUGUAGUCGAAAAUGUUGUCUCUCUUGAGUGGAUCCUGAGUACGACGGAGCACGUGAAAUUCCGUCGGAAUCUGGGAGGACCAUCUCCUAAGGCUAAAUACUCUCUAGUGACCGAUAGUGAACCAGUACCGUGAGGGAAAGGUGAAAAGCACCCCGGAAGGGGAGUGAAAUAGAACCUGAAACCGUGUGCUUACAAGUAGUCAGAGCCCGUUAAUGGGUGAUGGCGUGCCUUUUGUAGAAUGAACCGGCGAGUUACGAUUUGAUGCAAGGUUAAGCAGUAAAUGUGGAGCCGUAGCGAAAGCGAGUCUGAAUAGGGCGUUUAGUAUUUGGUCGUAGACCCGAAACCAGGUGAUCUACCCUUGGUCAGGUUGAAGUUCAGGUAACACUGAAUGGAGGACCGAACCGACUUACGUUGAAAAGUGAGCGGAUGAACUGAGGGUAGCGGAGAAAUUCCAAUCGAACCUGGAGAUAGCUGGUUCUCUCCGAAAUAGCUUUAGGGCUAGCCUCAAGUGAUGAUUAUUGGAGGUAGAGCACUGUUUGGACGAGGGGCCCCUCUCGGGUUACCGAAUUCAGACAAACUCCGAAUGCCAAUUAAUUUAACUUGGGAGUCAGAACAUGGGUGAUAAGGUCCGUGUUCGAAAGGGAAACAGCCCAGACCACCAGCUAAGGUCCCAAAAUAUAUGUUAAGUGGAAAAGGAUGUGGCGUUGCCCAGACAACUAGGAUGUUGGCUUAGAAGCAGCCAUCAUUUAAAGAGUGCGUAAUAGCUCACUAGUCGAGUGACACUGCGCCGAAAAUGUACCGGGGCUAAACAUAUUACCGAAGCUGUGGAUUGUCCUUUGGACAAUGGUAGGAGAGCGUUCUAAGGGCGUUGAAGCAUGAUCGUAAGGACAUGUGGAGCGCUUAGAAGUGAGAAUGCCGGUGUGAGUAGCGAAAGACGGGUGAGAAUCCCGUCCACCGAUUGACUAAGGUUUCCAGAGGAAGGCUCGUCCGCUCUGGGUUAGUCGGGUCCUAAGCUGAGGCCGACAGGCGUAGGCGAUGGAUAACAGGUUGAUAUUCCUGUACCACCUAUAAUCGUUUUAAUCGAUGGGGGGACGCAGUAGGAUAGGCGAAGCGUGCGAUUGGAUUGCACGUCUAAGCAGUAAGGCUGAGUAUUAGGCAAAUCCGGUACUCGUUAAGGCUGAGCUGUGAUGGGGAGAAGACAUUGUGUCUUCGAGUCGUUGAUUUCACACUGCCGAGAAAAGCCUCUAGAUAGAAAAUAGGUGCCCGUACCGCAAACCGACACAGGUAGUCAAGAUGAGAAUUCUAAGGUGAGCGAGCGAACUCUCGUUAAGGAACUCGGCAAAAUGACCCCGUAACUUCGGGAGAAGGGGUGCUCUUUAGGGUUAACGCCCAGAAGAGCCGCAGUGAAUAGGCCCAAGCGACUGUUUAUCAAAAACACAGGUCUCUGCUAAACCGUAAGGUGAUGUAUAGGGGCUGACGCCUGCCCGGUGCUGGAAGGUUAAGAGGAGUGGUUAGCUUCUGCGAAGCUACGAAUCGAAGCCCCAGUAAACGGCGGCCGUAACUAUAACGGUCCUAAGGUAGCGAAAUUCCUUGUCGGGUAAGUUCCGACCCGCACGAAAGGCGUAACGAUUUGGGCACUGUCUCAACGAGAGACUCGGUGAAAUCAUAGUACCUGUGAAGAUGCAGGUUACCCGCGACAGGACGGAAAGACCCCGUGGAGCUUUACUGUAGCCUGAUAUUGAAAUUCGGCACAGCUUGUACAGGAUAGGUAGGAGCCUUUGAAACGUGAGCGCUAGCUUACGUGGAGGCGCUGGUGGGAUACUACCCUAGCUGUGUUGGCUUUCUAACCCGCACCACUUAUCGUGGUGGGAGACAGUGUCAGGCGGGCAGUUUGACUGGGGCGGUCGCCUCCUAAAAGGUAACGGAGGCGCUCAAAGGUUCCCUCAGAAUGGUUGGAAAUCAUUCAUAGAGUGUAAAGGCAUAAGGGAGCUUGACUGCGAGACCUACAAGUCGAGCAGGGUCGAAAGACGGACUUAGUGAUCCGGUGGUUCCGCAUGGAAGGGCCAUCGCUCAACGGAUAAAAGCUACCCCGGGGAUAACAGGCUUAUCUCCCCCAAGAGUUCACAUCGACGGGGAGGUUUGGCACCUCGAUGUCGGCUCAUCGCAUCCUGGGGCUGUAGUCGGUCCCAAGGGUUGGGCUGUUCGCCCAUUAAAGCGGUACGCGAGCUGGGUUCAGAACGUCGUGAGACAGUUCGGUCCCUAUCCGUCGUGGGCGUAGGAAAUUUGAGAGGAGCUGUCCUUAGUACGAGAGGACCGGGAUGGACAUACCUCUGGUGUACCAGUUGUCGUGCCAACGGCAUAGCUGGGUAGCUAUGUGUGGACGGGAUAAGUGCUGAAAGCAUCUAAGCAUGAAGCCCCCCUCAAGAUGAGAUUUCCCAACUUCGGUUAUAAGAUCCCUCAAAGAUGAUGAGGUUAAUAGGUUCGAGGUGGAAGCAUGGUGACAUGUGGAGCUGACGAAUACUAAUCGAUCGAAGACUUAAUCAA